UACGGAGGGUGCGAGCGUUGUCCGGAAUCACUGGGCGUAAAGGGCGCGUAGGCGGUUGGAGAAGGCUGUGGUGAAAGUCCGGGGCUCAACCCCGGAUCGGCCGUGGCGACUCUCUGACUGGAGCACUGUAGAGGCGGGUGGAAUUCCGGGUGUAGCGGUGGAAUGCGUAGAGAUCCGGAAGAACACCGGUGGCGAAGGCGGCCCGCUGGGCAGUAGCUGACGCUGAGGCGCGACAGCGUGGGGAGCAAACAGG
rnacentral:rRNA from 1 species